GGCACCUUUGCUUUAAUGCAGUCCGGGUCUUCUUUAUUAUGCCUUUGUUCCAGCCCUGUGUCUCUGUCCUCAUUUUCCUCUAUAUGAAUCUUCUGAGCAACUAACUGUUUCUCCAGUUCUUUGAGGUAGUUAACUGUUGUUUCUUGUCUCAUUAGUAUUACCAAGUCAUGUGGGUUCCUCAAGUUCAUUGGUGAAUCCACCUGCUGCUGGAUCUUCCCGUCCUCCGUGACCACCCAGUGCGUGGUGGCGGCGGCGGGCCGCGUCCCCGAGGCCAGCAACGAGCACAAGCCCAGCGCCCAGCCGGAGAAGACCCACGCCCGUCCCAGCCCGCCCCACCCGGACGCCGCUGCCGCCGCCAUCUUCCCUAAUCCCGGCCUGCCCGCACCACCCGGAAC
rnacentral:lncRNA from 1 species